rnacentral:hammerhead_ribozyme from 1 species
AUUCAGCUGACAAGUCUCAAAUAGGACGAAACGCGCGUGAAACUGGAU